rnacentral:tRNA from 1 species
CCAGGUGGCGGAACUGGCAGACGCACCAGCUUCAGGUGCUGGCGAGGUCACACUCGUGGAGGUUCAAAUCCUCUCCUGGGCA